rnacentral:rRNA from 1 species
GACGUAGGGUGCGAGCGUUGUCCGGAUUUAUUGGGCGUAAAGAGCUCGUAGGCGGCUCGUCGCGUCGACCGUGAAAACCCGCAGCUUAACUGCGGGCUUGCGGUUGAUACGGGCGGGCUAGAGUUCGGUAGGGGAGACUGGAAUUCCUGGUGUAGCGGUGAAAUGCGUAGAUAUCUGGAGGAACACCGGUGGCGAAGGCGGCGUUCUGGACUGCUACUGACACUGAUGAACGAAAGCCAGGGGAGCAAACGGG